GUUGAGAAUCACUGGUUUAAAGGCACCAGAUCCUGUCUGAUCUUAGAAGCUUAGUAGGUAAAGCUCUGAUUAGUACCUGAAUGGGAGACUGCCAAUAAAAGCCAGGUGCUGUAGGCU
rnacentral:rRNA from 1 species